rnacentral:rRNA from 1 species
AAACUAAAACUUUCAACAACGGAUCUCUUGGUUCUGGCAUCGAUGAAGAACGCASCGAAAUGCGAUAAGUAAUGUGAAUUGCAGAAUUCAGUGAAUCAUCGAAUCUUUGAACGCACAUUGCGCCCCUUGGUAUUCCGAGGGGCAUGCCUGUUCGAGCGUCAUU